rnacentral:rRNA from 1 species
GACGAACGCUGGCGGCGGGCUUAACACAUGCAAGUCGAACGGAAAGGCCCUGCUUUUGUCGGGUGCGCGGGUGGCGAACGGGUGGGUAAGACGUGAGUAACCUGCCCUUUGCUGGGGGAUAACUUCAGGAAACUGGGGCUAAUACCAGAUAGGAGCGCCGGCUGCAUGGUGGGGGGGGGAAAGGUUCGGCGGUUGGGGGUGGACUCGCGGCUGAUCAGCUUGUUGGUGGGGUAGUGGCUUACCAAGGCUUUGACGGGUAGCCGGCCUGAGAGGGUGACCGGCCACAUUGGGACUGCGAUACGGACCAGACUCCUACGGGAGGCAGCAGUGGGGAAUAUUGCACAAUGGGCCGACGCGUGAUGCAGCAACGCCGCGUGCGGGAUGAAGGCCUUCGGGUUGUAAACCGCUUUAGCCUGUGACGAAGCGUGAGUGACGGUAAUGGGUAAAGAAGCACCGGCUAACUACGUG